CCAAAGGCUCUUUUCAGAGCCACACAUUUGGUCCAUCAAAAGUAGU
rfam:Tupaia chinensis contig173108, whole genome shotgun sequence.